UACAGAGGUGGCAAGCGUUGUUCGGAAUUACUGGGCGUAAAGGGCGCGUAGGCGGCCCACUAAGUCAGACGUGAAAUCCCCCGGCUUAACCUGGGAACUGCGUCUGAUACUGGAGGGCUUGAGUAUGGGAGAGGGAUGUAGAAUUCCAGGUGUAGCGGUGAAAUGCGUAGAUAUCUGGAGGAAUACCGGUGGCGAAGGCGGCAUCCUGGACCAUUACUGACGCUGAGGCGCGAAAGCUAGGGGGGCAAACGGG
rnacentral:rRNA from 1 species